rnacentral:misc_RNA from 1 species
CUCAGCCGCCGGCCUUCCCCUGCCAGCCGCCGGCCACCUCCGGACGCCGGUUCUUCCUCCUGCCGGCCCAUUCUUCCCUCCCCUCCAUGGAUCCUCCCGCGUCCUCUGCAGGGGCCGCCACCACCACCGCCGUCAGCACAGGCACCGGCCUGCCUCCCCUGCUCGACUCCCUCACCGGCGUGGGUGCGGCCUUUGCGGCCGCUGCCUCCACAGGCGCGGGCUCGGCCCCCCACGCGGAAGCAGGCCGCGCGGCCGUCGCCCCCCACCUCGCCGGCGUGAGCGCCAGCUCCCUGCCUGGCCCACAGGCCGCCGGCGCAGCCACACAGAUCACCGGCG